rnacentral:rRNA from 1 species
AUUGAACGCUGGCGGCAUGCCUUACACAUGCAAGUCGAACGGUAACAGGUUAAGCUGACGAGUGGCGAACGGGUGAGUAAUGUAUCGGAACGUGCCCAGUCGUGGGGGAUAACUGCUCGAAAGAGCAGCUAAUACCGCAUACGACCGGAGGGUGAAGACGGGGGAUCGCAAGACCUCGCGCGAUUGGAGCGGCCGAUAUCAGAUUAGGUAGUUGGUGGGGUAAAGGCCUACCAAGCCUACGAUCUGUAGCUGGUCUGAGGGGACGACCAGCCACACUGGGACUGAGACACGGCCCAGACUCCUACGGGAGGCAGCAGUGGGGAAUUUUGGACAAUGGACGCAAGUCUGAUCCAGCCAUGCCGCGUGCGGGAAGAAGGCCUUCGGGUUGUAAACCGCUUUUGUCAGGGAAGAAAAGGUUCUGGUCAAUACCUGGGACUCAUGACGGUACCUGAAGAAUAAGCACCGGCUAACUACGUGCCAGCAGCCGCAGUAAUAC